UUUUUAUUUUUAUUUUUUAUUUUUUAGAAUUUUUUUUAUUUUUCUGAUUUUUUGGAAAAUUUUUAUUAUUUUUAAAUUUUUAUUAUCUUUAAAAUUUUUAUUAUUUGUGAAGCCAACAUGUACGAACACUCGAAUGGGAUGAAAAAUCUGCCUGUGAUGCUCUUUUUGAGUUAUCCAUGUAUCGUGCGUAAUACCCAUCAUAACCCACGAAUUAUUUUAAAUAGAUAUCAUAUAACCCAUCCUGACUCAUCCUUAGUUAUUUCUUAACCCAUCCUAACCCAUUCUCAUUUUUAAAAUGACCCAAAAUAACCUAAAAAACCCAAAUGGGUUUUAUUUGCCAGGCCUAUUUAGAAGAUGAAAGUACCGGUUAUAUAUUGCCAAACUAAGUUCUUAUUGAAAUUGCAAAGCAAAUGCCGGUGACAACUGGAAAAUUGCGACACUUAUUGAAAUCGAGACACCCCUAUAUUGAGCGAAAUCUUGGUUCAUUCGUUGGCAUCUUUAAGCAUUCCAUGCAGAAUGGCGCUGCAUUUGUACCUGUUGCCAAGAAAAUUGUUGAAGAUGAUUAUUUAACUCGCAUGAAGAUUGUGAAAGAGAUUCAUGAGCACAAUUAAAUUUUGAGUUUUUAUUCA